rnacentral:rRNA from 1 species
UACGGGAGGCAGCAGGGGGAAUAUUGACUACNGGCGCAAGCAUGAUCCAACAAUCCCGCCGUUNAAGAAGGCUCCGGGUUGUAAAGCAUUUUCACCCGGGAAGAAGGUGUAGGUUUCACCGCAGGAACAAAUCGCGGUACCUCAAGAAUCAUCCCCGGCUAACUUCUCCCCAGCAGCCGCGGUAAUACGGAGGGCGGCAGCGUUUCUCGGAAUUCUUGCGCGUAAAGGGCACGUAGGCGGUUUUACAAUUCAGAUGUGAAAGCCCCGGGCUUAACCUCGGAACUGCAUCUGAAACUGUAUGACUAGAGUGGAGGAGAGGCAAGAGGAAUUCUUGGUGUAGCGGUGAAAUGCGUAGAUAUCAGGAGGAACAUCAGUGCCGAAGGCAAUUAACUGGUCUCACACUGACGCUGAGGUACCAAAGCGAGGGGAGCGAACG